rnacentral:rRNA from 1 species
AUGGCUCAGGAUGAACGCUAGCUACAGGCUUAACACAUGCAAGUCGAGGGGCAGCAUGUGGUUGCUGCAACCAAUGAUGGCGACCGGCGCACGGGUGAGUAACGCGUAUCCAACCUUCCCCUUAGUAGAGGAUAGCCCGGCGAAAGUCGGAUUAAUACUCUAUGUUCUUCAAUGCGGACAUCUAAGUUGAAGCAAAGAUUUAUCGCUAAGGGAUGGGGAUGCGUCUGAUUAGGUUGCAGGCGGGGUAACGGCCCACCUGGCCUACGAUCAGUAGGGGUUCUGAGAGGAAGGUCCCCCACACUGGUACUGAGACACGGACCAGACUCCUACGGGAGGCAGCAGUGAGGAAUAUUGGUCAAUGGGCGCGAGCCUGAACCAGCCAAGUAGCGUGCCAGGACGACUGCCCUAUGGGUUGUAAACUGCUUUUGUCAGGGAAUAAAGUGAGGCACGCGUGCCUUUUUGUAUGUACCUGAUGAAUAAGGACCGGCUAAUUCCGUGCCAGCCGCCGC